GUAGGGUCCAAGCGUUAUCCGGAAUCACUGGGCGUAAAGCGCGCGUAGGUGGAUUGUUAAGUGCGGUGCGAAAUCCUGUGGCUCAACCAUAUGGACUGUAUCGCAUACUGGCAAUCUAGAGGACAUGAGAGGCAAGUGGAAUUACUGGUGUAGCAGUGAAAUGCGUAGAGAUCAGUAGGAACACCAAUGGCGAAGGCAGCUUGCUGGCAUGUAUCUGACGCUAAGGCACGAAAGCGUGGGGAGCGAACAGG
rnacentral:rRNA from 1 species